CAGGGAUUCUGUGAUAGACUAAACAUGAAGAAGGUAAGAACUACAGCCUAUCACCCGCAAUUGGAUGGAAUUGUACACCGAAUGAAUAAGACAGCUUGUAACGUUACAAACGUCACAUCUUUGAUAUUUUAUUUUUAAAUAAUUAUUUUAUCUUAUUUUCUUUAAUAUUUCAUUAAUCAUUAUCUUCUUCUAAUUGGUUUACCCAUUUUCCCCUUUAAAAAUCGGUUGGCGCUCUCUUUUAUUAUCCUCUUUUAUUAUCCUCUUUUAUUUACUAUAUCUCUUUUUAUUUAAAUCAUCAUCUGAACAUACUGAACGUACCUCGUAUACAUUCUUACUCCGUAAGUAUCUGUAUUUUCAAUACGGAACAUGCCGCUACUUCAUAGUACUUGGUUGUCAUUUUAAACGUCGUUUUCAAUGACAGUGUCACUUCAUCGACUUGACCCCCUACUCCCUGACAUACACUGGAAGGGAAAAAUUAAUCCUUAAAAAGGCAUGUAAUUCCAAAUUUAAAUCAUUUUUCAUUUCAACAAAUCAUCUUCCUCUUGGGGUGAGAAUAAUAUAUUGUAAUUAUAUUUCUCCGUCUAACAGUUUUUCUAAUGUUUUUUUUUUAUCUAACCUAACUUCCAAUGUCAGACCAUGUGUUCUGAUAUUUUAGUUUCAAAUAUAAUUAUCUUUUAAUUUACAUGUAUGCACGUUUAGUAAUCAGAAUUUUAACUAUUCUCAUCUAAAUUUCAUUUGAUUUAUUCUUGUCAUCUGCUACUCUUUCUGACGAUUAGAACGGCAGAUGGCACACGUUGGUUUUUCUUCUUGAUGAUUGAUAUGUGUCUCUAUUUUAUAUUUUUUUGGAAAGAAACCACUUUUCUCCCUCCGGGAGUUUCAACAACCCUCAAAUCGCCGGCGAUACAACAACGAGGACCAUGUCAUCAGGGCUGCAACCACAUAACCAAGACUGCAACGACCAACAUCCGUAGGCCUGGUGGAAUACAACACCUACAACCCCAGAGCCCGUUGCAGAACCAGCAGCAGUACCAUACGACAUCAAGAAGAUACCAUCAGCUACCAAAAGCCAUAAGUAUAAUCCAGAAUUGUUAGUUUUUGGCAAGAAUUUAAAUACAUUUGUUAAUGCAAUUUA